rnacentral:rRNA from 1 species
ACGUAGGUGACGAGCGUUGUUCGGAAUUAUUGGGCGUAAAGGGUUCGUAGGAGGUUUAUUAAGAUUGGUGUGAAAUCCCAAGGCUCAACCUUGGAACUGCAUUGAUUACUGAUGAACUAGAGUGUCGUAGAGGAAAGCGGAAUUCCAGGUGAAGCGGUUGGGUGGGUAGUAAUCUGGAAGGAGGCAGAAAGGGAAGGGAAGCUAACAGGAGAUAAUAGCCUAGUAGGAGCGAAAGGAUCGAAAGCAAAGAG